rnacentral:rRNA from 1 species
UUCGAUUAUGGCUCAGAUUGAACGCUGGCGGGAUACUUUACACGCGCAGUCGAACGGCAGCACGGACUUCGGUCUGGUGGCGAGUGGCGAACAGGUGAAGUAAUGUAUCGGAACGUGCCUAGUAGCGGGGGAUAACUACGCGAAAGCGUAGCUAAUACCACAUACGCCCUUCGGGGGAAAGCGGGGACCUUCCUGGGCCUCGCACUAUUGAAGCGGCCGAUAUCGGAUUAACUAGUUGGUGGGAAAGUAACGGCUCACCAAAGCGACGAUCCGUAGCUGGUUCAGAGGACGACCAGCCACACUGGACGGGGCAGCUGAACUCUGGGAGGCAGCAGUGGGGGUACGGACAAUGGGAAGCCUGAUCAGCCAUCCCCGCGGCGUGUGCGAUAAAGGCCAGCCUUCGGGUUGUAAAGCGCACGGGAGAAAGAGCAACAGGAUAAUACCCCGUGCAACUGACGGUACAGAAUGACACCGGCUAACUACGUGCCAGCAACCGCGGUAAUGCGUAGGGUGCAAGCUUCGUUAAUCAGAUUACUGGGCGUAAAGCGUGCGCAGGCGGUUCGGAAAGAAGAUGUGAAAUCCCGGAAAUUAACUUUUGGAACUGCAUUUUUAACUACCGAGCUAGAGUGUGUCAGAGGGAGGUGGGAAUUCCGCGUGUAGCAGUGAAAUGCGUAGAUAUGCGGAGGAACACCGAUGGCGAAGGCGGCCUCUGGGAUAACACUGACGCUCAUGCACGAAAGCGUGGGGAGCAAACAGGAUUAGAUACCUGGUAGUCCACGCCUAAAACGAUGUCAACUAGCUGUUGGGGCCUUCGGGCCUUGGUAAGCGCAGCUAACGCGUGAGAUUGACCGCCUGGGGAGUACGGUCGCAAGAUUAAAACUCAAAGGAAUUGGCGGGGACCCGCACAAGCGGUGGAUGAUGUGGAUUGAAUUCGUGCAACGCGAAAACCUUACCUACCCUUGACAUGUCUGGAAUCCCGAAGGGUUGGGAGUGCUCGCAAGAGAACCGGAACACAGGUGCUGCAUGGCUGUCGUCAGCUCGUGUCGUGAGAUGUUGGGUUAAGUCCGCAACGAGCGCAGCCCUUGUCGUGCUAGUUGCUACGAAAGGGCACUCUAAUGAGACUGCCGGUGACAAACCGGAGGAGGUGGGGAUGACGUCAAAUCACCAUGGCCCUUAUGGGUAGGGCUUCACACGUCAUACAAUGGUCGGGACAGAGGUCGCCAACCCGCGAGAGGCCAAUCCCAGAAACCCGAUCGUAGUCGGAUCACCAGUCUGCAACUCGACUGCGUGAAGUCGGAAUCGCUGGCUCCCGCUUGGAUCAGCAUGUCGCGGUGAAUACGUUCCCGGGUCUUAACACACCGCCCCGUCACACCAUGGGGUGGGUUUUACCAGAAGUAGUUAGCCUAACCGUAAGGAGGGCGAUUACCACGGUAAGUUCAUGACUGGGGAGUGAAGUCGUAACAAAGGUAA